rnacentral:rRNA from 1 species
AUACCAGCACUAAUGCACCGGAUCCCAUCAGAACUCCGCAGUAAAGCGUGCUUGGGCGAGAGUAGUACUAGGAUGGGUGACCUCCUGGGAAGUCCUCGUGUUGCACCCCCCGUUUUGCGUUU